rnacentral:misc_RNA from 1 species
UUCCAAAGGGCAUGCCUGUUCGAGCGUCAUUUGUACCCUCAAGCUUUGCUUGGUGUUGGGCGUCUUGUCUUUGCUCCGCCAAAGACUCGCCUUAAAACGAUUGGCAGCCGGCCUACUGGUUUCGCAGCGCAGCACAUUUUUGCGCUUGCAAUCAGCAAAAGAGGACGGCACUCCAUCAAGACUCCUUCUCACGUUUGACCUCGGAUCAG